rnacentral:rRNA from 1 species
CUUACUCUUUUGGCCCAUGCAUCUGUUCCGUUUCGGUUUUGGAGUGAUGCUUUCACCACUGCAUGCUUUCUCAUCAACCGUACUCCUACUCGUGUUUUAAACAUGAAGACUCCCAUUGAGGUUCUCCUUAAUGAACAACCUGAUUAUACCUUUCUCAAGGUAUUUGGGUGUGCUUGCUGGCCGCAUCUUCGUCCAUAUAACAAGCGCAAGCUUGAGUUUCGUUCUAAGAAGUGUGUUUUCCUUGGCUAUAGCUCUCUUCAUAAAGGUUACAAAUGUCUUCAUGUUCCCACUAAUCGUGUCUAUAUAUCUCGGGACGUCGUGUUUAAUGAGCAUGUUUUUCCCUUUGCCAACCUUCUUGUGUCCACUGUCGAACCACCAUCCCUGCAUUCAUCCUCUGUUGCUUCUGACCAAUUUGAUGAU